GACGAACGCUGGCGGCGUGCUUAACACAUGCAAGUCGAACGGAAAGGCCCUGCUUUUGUGGGGUGCUCGAGUGGCGAACGGGUGAGUAACACGUGAGUAACCUGCCCUUGACUUUGGGAUAACUUCAGGAAACUGGGGCUAAUACCGGAUAGGAGCUCCUGCUGCAUGGUGGGGGUUGGAAAGUUUCGGCGGUUGGGGAUGGACUCGCGGCUUAUCGGCUUGUUGGGGGGGUAGUGGCUUACCAAGGCUUUGACGGGUAGCCGGCCUGGGAGGGUGACCGGCCACAUUGGGACUGAGAUACGGCCCAGACUCCUACGGGAGGCAGAAGUGGGGAAUAUUGCACAAUGGGCGGAAGCCUGAUGCAGCAACGCCGCGUGCGGGAUGACGGCCUUCGGGUUGUAAACCGCUUUCGCCUGUGACGAAGCGUGAGUGACGGUAAUGGGUAAAGAAGCACCGGCUAACUACGUG
rnacentral:rRNA from 1 species